rnacentral:tRNA from 2 species
GCUUUUAUAGCUUAAAUGGUAAAGCGGUUGAUUUGUAAUCAAUUGAUUUGGGUUCAAUUCCUAAUAAAAGUA